rnacentral:rRNA from 1 species
AUGAACGCUGGCGGCGUGCCUAAUACAUGCAAGUCGAGCGAACAGACGAGGAGCUUGCUCCUCUGACGUUAGCGGCGGACGGGUGAGUAACACGUGGAUAACCUACCUAUAAGACUGGGAUAACUUCGGGAAACCGGAGCUAAUACCGGAUAAUAUAUUGAACCGCUUGGUUCAAUAGUGAAAGACGGUUUUGCUGUCACUUAUAGAUGGAUCCGCGCCGCAUUAGCUAGUUGGUAAGGUAACGGCUUACCAAGGCGACGAUGCGUAGCCGACCUGAGAGGGUGAUCGGCCACACUGGAACUGAGACACGGUCCAGACUCCUACGGGAGGCAGCAGUAGGGAAUCUUCCGCAAUGGGCGAAAGCCUGACGGAGCAACGCCGCGUGAGUGAUGAAGGUCUUCGGAUCGUAAAACUCUGUUAUUAGGGAAGAACAAAUGUGUAAGUAACUAUGCACGUCUUGACGGUACCUAAUCAGAAAGCCACGGCUAACUACGUG